UUGAACUGAAGAGUUUGAUCCUGGCUCAGAUUGAACGCUGGCGGCAUGCCUUACACAUGCAAGUCGAACGGCAGCACGGGUGCUUGCACCUGGUGGCGAGUGGCGAACGGGUGAGUAAUACAUCGGAACAUGUCCUGUAGUGGGGGAUAGCCCGGCGAAAGCCGGAUUAAUACCGCAUACGAUCCACGGAUGAAAGCGGGGGACCUUCGGGCCUCGCGCUAUAGGGUUGGCCGAUGGCUGAUUAGCUAGUUGGUGGGGUAAAGGCCUACCAAGGCGACGAUCAGUAGCUGGUCUGAGAGGACGACCAGCCACACUGGGACUGAGACACGGCCCAGACUCCUACGGGAGGCAGCAGUGGGGAAUUUUGGACAAUGGGCGAAAGCCUGAUCCAGCAAUGC
rnacentral:rRNA from 1 species